AUUCUUGUUGAUCCUGCCAGUAGUUAUAUGCUUGUACACACGAAUUAAAAGUGAAACCGCAAAAGGCUCAUUAUAUCAGUUAUGGUUCCUUAGAUCGUUAGCAGUUACUUGGAUAGCUGUGGUAAUUCAGAGCUAAUACAUGCAAUUAAAACACGGACCUUAUGGGACGUGUGCUUUUAUUAGGCUAAAACCAAGCGUUCGCAAGAGCGUUACAUUGGUUGAACUCUAGAUAGCAUGCAGAUCGUAUGGUCUUGUACCGACGACAGAUCUUUCAAAUGUCUGCCCCAUCAACUUUUGUUGGUAGUAUCUAGGACUACCAUGGUUGCAACGGGUAACGGGGAAUCAGGGUUCGAUUCCGGAGAGGAAGCCUGAGAAACGGCUACCACAUCUAAGGAAGGCAGCAGGCGUGUAUGUAAGCAUAUUACCGGUGGAGUUCUUAUAUAUAAUUAAGUACUUGUAUUUUUUUAUAUAUUCCUCCUAUUUAAAAACCUGCAUUAGUGCUCUUCAUCGAGUGUUAUUGUGGGCCGGUACAAUUACUUUGAACAAAUUAGAGUGCUUAAAGCAGGUCAAAUGCCUGAAUAUUCUGUGCAUGGGAUAAUGAAAUAAGACCUCUGUUCUGCUUUCAUUGGUUUUCAGAUCAAGAGGUAAUGAUUAAUAGAAGCAGUUUGGGGGCAUUAGUAUUACGACGCGAGAGGUGAAAUUCUUGGACUGUCGUAAGACUAACUUAAGCGAGGCAUUUGCCAAGAUGUUUUCAUUAAUCAAUCAAGAACGAAAGUUAGAGGUUCGAAGGCGAUCAGAUACCGCCCUAGUUCUAACCAUAAACGAUGCCAGCUAGCAAUUGGGUGUAGCUACUUUUAUGGCUCUCUCAGUAGCUUCCCGGGAAACCAAAGCUUUUGGGCUCCGGGGGAAGUAUGGUUGCAAAGCUGAAACUUACAGGAAUUGAGGGAAGGGCACCACCAGGAGUGGAGCCUGCGGCUUAAUUUGACUCAACACGGGAAAACUUACCAGGUCCGAACAUAAGUGUGUAAGACAGAUUGAUAGCUCUUUCUCGAACCUAUGGGUGGUGGUGCAUGGCCGUUCUUAGUUCGUGGAGUGAUUUGUCUGGUUAAUUCCGAUAACGAACGAGACUCAAAUGUAUUAAAUAGAAAUCUUCAGGAUUAUGGAUUAUAUAGCCUUCAUUCAUGGUGGCAGUAAAAUGUUUAUUGUGUUUGAAUGUGUUUAUAUAAGUGGAGCCGUACCUGUCGGUUUGUCCCAUUAUAAGAACACUAGCUUCUUAAAUGGACAAAUUGCGUCUAGCAAUAAUGAGAUUGAGCAAUAACAGGUCUGUGAUGCCCUUAGAUGUCCUGGGCUGCACGCGCGCUACAAUGAAAGUAUCAACGUGUAUUUCCUAGACCGAGAGGUCCGGGUAAACCGCUGAACCACUUUCAUGCUUGGGAUUGUGAACUGAAACUGUUCACAUGAACUUGGAAUUCCCAGUAAGUGUGAGUCAUUAACUCGCAUUGAUUACGUCCCUGCCCUUUGUACACACCGCCCGUCGCUACUACCGAUUGAAUUAUUUAGUGAGGUCUCCGGACGUGAUCACUGUGACGCCUUGCGUGUUAUGGUUGUUUCGCAAAAGUUGACCGAACUUGAUUAUUUAGAGGAAGUAAAAGUCGUAACAAGGUUUCCGUAGGUGAACCUGCGGAAG
rnacentral:rRNA from 1 species